rnacentral:rRNA from 1 species
AUAAUGGGUCAGCGACUUAUAUUCUGUAGCAAGGUUAACCGAAUAGGGGAGCCGAAGGGAAACCGAGUCUUAACUGGGCGUUAAGUUGCAGGGUAUAGACCCGAAACCCGGUGAUCUAGCCAUGGGCAGGUUGAAGGUUGGGUAACACUAACUGGAGGACCGAACCGACUAAUGUUGAAAAAUUAGCGGAUGACUUGUGGCUGGGGGUGAAAGGCCAAUCAAACCGGGAGAUAGCUGGUUCUCCCCGAAAGCUAUUUAGGUAGCGCCUCGUGAAUUCAUCUCCGGGGGUAGAGCACUGUUUCGGCAAGGGGGUCAUCCCGACUUACCAACCCGAUGCAAACUGCGAAUACCGGAGAAUGUUAUCACGGGAGACACACGGCGGGUGCUAACGUCCGUCGUGAAGAGGGAAACAACCCAGACCGCCAGCUAAGGUCCCAAAGUCAUGGUUAAGUGGGAAACGAUGUGGGAAGGCCCAGACAGCCAGGAUGUUGGCUUAGAAGCAGCCAUCAUUUAAAGAAAGCGUAAUAGCUCACUGGUCGAGUCGGCCUGCGCGGAAGAUGUAACGGGGCUAAACCAUGCACCGAAGCUGCGGCAGCGACGCUGAUGCGUUGUUGGGUAGGGGAGCGUUCUGUAAGCCUGUGAAGGUGUGCUGUGAGGCAUGCUGGAGGUAUCAGAAGUGCGAAUGCUGACAUAAGUAACGAUAAAGCGGGUGAAAAGCCCGCUCGCCGGAAGACCAAGGGUUCCUGUCCAACGUUAAUCGGGGCAGGGUGAGUCGACCCCUAAGGCGAGGCCGAAAGGCGUAGUCGAUGGGAAACAGGUUAAUAUUCCUGUACUUGGUGUUACUGCGAAGGGGGGACGGAGAAGGCUAUGUUGGCCGGGCGACGGUUGUCCCGGUUUAAGCGUGUAGGCUGGUUUUCCAGGCAAAUCCGGAAAAUCAAGGCUGAGGCGUGAUGACGAGGCACUACGGUGCUGAAGCAACAAAUGCCCUGCUUCCAGGAAAAGCCUCUAAGCAUCAGGUAACAUCAAAUCGUACCCCAAACCGACACAGGUGGUCAGGUAGAGAAUACCAAGGCGCUUGAGAGAACUCGGGUGAAGGAACUAGGCAAAAUGGUGCCGUAACUUCGGGAGAAGGCACGCUGAUAUGUAGGUGAAGUCCCUCGCGGAUGGAGCUGAAAUCAGUCGAAGAUACCAGCUGGCUGCAACUGUUUAUUAAAAACACAGCACUGUGCAAACACGAAAGUGGACGUAUACGGUGUGACGCCUGCCCGGUGCCGGAAGGUUAAUUGAUGGGGUCAGCGCAAGCGAAGCUCUUGAUCGAAGCCCCGGUAAACGGCGGCCGUAACUAUAACGGUCCUAAGGUAGCGAAAUUCCUUGUCGGGUAAGUUCCGACCUGCACGAAUGGCGUAAUGAUGGCCAGGCUGUCUCCACCCGAGACUCAGUGAAAUUGAACUCGCUGUGAAGAUGCAGUGUACCCGCGGCAAGACGGAAAGACCCCGUGAACCUUUACUAUAGCUUGACACUGAACAUUGAGCCUUGAUGUGUAGGAUAGGUGGGAGGCUUUGAAGUGUGGACGCCAGUCUGCAUGGAGCCGGCCUUGAAAUACCACCCUUUAAUGUUUGAUGUUCUAACGUUGACCCGUGAUCCGGGUUGCGGACAGUGUCUGGUGGGUAGUUUGACUGGGGCGGUCUCCUCCUAAAGAGUAACGGAGGAGCACGAAGGUUGGCUAAUCCUGGUCGGACAUCAGGAGGUUAGUGCAAUGGCAUAAGCCAGCUUGACUGCGAGCGUGACGGCGCGAGCAGGUGCGAAAGCAGGUCAUAGUGAUCCGGUGGUUCUGAAUGGAAGGGCCAUCGCUCAACGGAUAAAAGGUACUCCGGGGAUAACAGGCUGAUACCGCCCAAGAGUUCAUAUCGACGGCGGUGUUUGGCACCUCGAUGUCGGCUCAUCACAUCCUGGGGCUGAAGUAGGUCCCAAGGGUAUGGCUGUUCGCCAUUUAAAGUGGUACGCGAGCUGGGUUUAGAACGUCGUGAGACAGUUCGGUCCCUAUCUGCCGUGGGCGCUGGAGAACUGAGGGGGGCUGCUCCUAGUACGAGAGGACCGGAGUGGACGCAUCACUGGUGUUCGGGUUGUCAUGCCAAUGGCACUGCCCGGUAGCUAAAUGCGGAAGAGAUAAGUGCUGAAAGCAUCUAAGCACGAAACUUGCCCCGAGAUGAGUUCUCCCUGACUCCUUGAGAGUCCUGAAGGAACGUUGAAGACGACGACGUUGAUAGGCCGGGUGUGUAAGCGCAGCGAUGCGUUGAGCUAACCGGUACUAAUGAACCGUGAGG